rnacentral:lncRNA from 1 species
AAUUCAAUUUACUCUUUCCACUGUUCUCCCUCUACUGGAAUACUGAUAUUCAUGACAAGCUGUAAGGUACUUCACUAGAGGGAGCAUAGUUAAGGAAAGGCAUGCCCCUUGUGCAGAAUACAGCCCUGGCUCUCUCUGGAGAAGAACGAGGAAAGGGGAAAGAUGUAGUCAGAGGAGUGAGAGAGGAUUUGAACAAAGGCUCAGCCAAUUUUAGGAAGAUAAAAAGAAACCAAAGCCAACACAUUCCUAAUUUAGUGGAUCUGAG